rnacentral:rRNA from 1 species
AGAGCCUAUGAUACCAAGCAAAGCAAGGUCAGCCCUGGUUAGUAGUUNGAUGGGAGACCACCAGAGAUCACCAAGCCCUAGGCUAGA